GAAUUUUCGGUUUUAUACGCUGACUUUGAUUUGAAAGGAAAAACCAAUGAAUGAAUUACUUUGUUGUUUAAGAAAUGCCAAGUUAGAUGCAGCCCUGCAACAACUUACAAAGCUGUGUGAGUUAACCUUGAUUCUUCCAGCCACUAGUGCCUCAGUUGAGCACUCUUUCUCUUACACCAGAAAUGCGCAACGACAAGAAAGACUUGUAAGUUUAGCAUUAAUAUCGCGAUUGAGAAAAAGCUUCUUAAGGAAAUAAAGACUGAUAGUUUCUAUGAAGAUGUAACAAAUUUAUCCAAUCAAAAGGAAAGGAGGAUGGAAUUAACAAAUAAAUAAACAAACAUGUCUGAAAUGUCAAAGUUGGCAAUGGUGGAGUUUGUGGAAGAGAAAAGUGUGGAGGUGGUCCCAUUGCUGUGGACUGAAGGAAGUUCAAAGAAAAUUGGAAAGGAGACAACGAUUGAGGAAAGAGGAACUGGUAAAAUACCAAUAGAAACUGAAGCCAAAGUAACUGCCUUAACUGAAGAUAACCAAGAAAUGGACAAUAAGGACAAAGAUGAAGCAGUGAAAGUGAUUGAAGUACACACAGAUAUUAAUACCAUAGAUGCUGAAAUGACAGAGAAAAAAAACCACCAGAAAUUUCUCUUGCUGGAAAAACUUGACUUGGUGCCUAUAACAAGUGGAGAGUGGGUAAGGAAGAAGACUUAUUACUGAAAUAUCUCAUUUAGAACCUAGGAGUACUACAUUAGUGUGUAAGCAGGUUGGUCCAUGUACCAACUUGCAUCAAAUAACAAGUGUUUUGGAUUCUCCCAAAGACUGGUUACAUGAUAUUAAUCGUUGCCAAUAUCUAUUGCAUGUUCAGUUUCCAGGAUGUUUGCAUCAUCACAGCAGAAAUAACUAACCAUUCAGCAGUCAGUACAUCAGCUGGUGAAUUUAUCCAGAUUGUUAAUAUUAAUAAAAAUCACUAGAUAACUUUGUCAAAUACGAAUUAUGUGAAAGGAACAAUUCAUGUGCAUGAUGGCCUAGGAUAUAGUGCAGCAAAUUGGCAGCUACCGAAGUAGAUAGCCCGACUUCUUGAUGCUCAAGUAAAUUCAGUUGUCAUAAACAGGGAAGUUCUAAUUACUGUGGUCUUUUUACUACUGCUGUAGCUGCUUUGCUAUGGCACUCCAACACAGCUUUAUUUGGGACCAGUCCAAAAAAUGAGGCAAUACGUGAAGACGUGUUUUGCAAAGGAUAGGAUGGCACUAUGUCAGUUAAUUAAGGUGAAACAAAAAAUCAAUUUCGGAGGAUACCAUCGCUGAAAGGGAAGAAUAAAGGCCAUUAAAAAAGAAAAGAAAAGACUUGUAAUUUGUGUUUAUUGUAUAAAAUAUCAUACCAUGUCUUAUGUCUUUCUGUUUUUAAACAGUCAUGCAGUGAAAUAAAUUGCAUUCCCUUUAACAGUAGUAAA